CUUCUUGGAAGGCCGAGGAAGAAAACCAAUGUUGCAGAUGCAAAGGGGAAGGUUCGAAACCAAGAUAUGCUUCAAAUAAAUAAGUGGGAUCCAAAGGUUGAUAUUGUGGACUUCAGUGGCAGCUUUUUGGCUCGUUUGCAUAAUCUUGUUGGUGUGCUUUUCCAUAUCAGUCAUUUGAGUAUUGUCUUCUACUCCCACGCCUUCCCCAAUAUCCACAGAACUUGGUGAGAGUGUAAAUUCAAAUUCAAAGCUCGCUAAUUUGAAUAUUAGCGGCUUGAAGUACAUCAUAUUGGACAUCGCAACAUAUCUUUUUUCUCUGCUGGGUUCCGUCCUCAAGUGGCAACACGUUUGUAUUCCGGGCUUGGGGUUUCAUUGCAUGGAGUUGGAGUUUCAACAGAGGUCAUGGUGCCAAGAAUCUGAACACCAGAAGACCGAUCCUCAAUACAUCUCUUCACCCCUCUUUUUGUUUCUGAUCACUUCUUAUUAAUUGUGCAUAAAACUUAGGUGGUAGAUCCUUCUUGCUCCCCAACCAAGGAGACACCCCGUUCGAUAAUUCGUGCAUAGUCCAGUUGGAUUUUUCAUGCACGAUCCUUAUUAUACCUUGAAACAAAGUAGUUUGUUAAGUCCAAUAACAUGUUCACCCUGAUGAUUAUAUAUUUGGUAGCCAAAGUUUUCAUUCCCACUCCCACGACCUUCUGAUCUUGCCACACAUUUAGCAAAUUUUUUUAGCCUUGUGAAAACGUAAUGCAUCCCCUCCUGACCAUCAAAAUCAUCGAAGAUUUCCCACAGGGCUUUUUCACAUAAAGAUCGGACUCAUGGAUACCAAGCUACGACCUCAAAAGCUCUCAUCAGUCCUCCACCGUCUACAUCUCGGGCAUGCUCCUCCACCAAUGAGGUCUGCUUGUGACGUGGCUAUAUUAGGUCUAGGAUGGAUUUCCAGUGAGCAAAACAUCGGGAGUUCGUAGAGGAGGAAGAAGAAUAAGACCAAAGUGGUACUUUUGAUGCUAGUGGUUUUUCCAUGAUCUAAGACGACAAUGCUAGGGGUUCUCAUCAUCUAUCUACCUCGAAUCUUCAAGGAGAAGAGAAAGGAGUGCUGCCCUCAACAUUUUGGUUUCGACCCUUUGAUAAAGAGCUUAUAACCUAUUAUCUGUGGAGGAAGAAGGGAAGAAGGUUAGGGGAGAAAAGCUGCUUUGGAUGGUAUUCAUGAGUUUGAUUUUUGUGGUUUGAAGACUAUUUGGGAGAUGUUUGAUGAUUUUGAUACUCAACCAGAGAAGCAUUACGAUUUCACAAGACUAAAGAAAUUAGUUAAAUGCAACAAGAUCAGCAGGUUGUGAGGCGGGCAUGAAAGUUAUGGGUAUCAAAUAUAUAAUAAUCAGGAUGCAUGUGUUAUGACUCGACAAACAGAUUUGGUUCAAGUGUAAUAAAGUUGUGUAUGAAGAUCAAUUGGAUUAUGCUUAAAUACUCUUUGAUGAUUGUCUCUUUGGUUGGGGAGCAAGAACAAUCUAAGCACCUAGGGUGUUUUUACGGUUAACAAGAAAGGAUCAAAAAUAAGAAGAGAGGUGAAGAGAUGUUUUGAUGAUUAGUUUUCUAGUGUUCGGAUUCUUGGCACCAUGACCUCUGUUGAAAUUUUAACUCUAUGCAAUGAAACUGUCCAAGCUCGGAGUACAAAUGUGUUGCCACUUGAAGACGGAACCUAGUAGAGAAAAAAUGUGUUGCGAUGUCCAAUAUGCUGUAGCCCCUUAUUAUGUUCAUUUGAAUUAGGAAGUUAUAAAUCUGAAUUUUGAAUUUACACUCACCGAGUUCUGUGGAUAUUUGGAGAAGACAUCUGAGUUUGUAUAUUUGUGCAUAUAUUUGUGCUGAUGAGUUCUUUGGUGCUGUGUCUGUUUA